CCUGAAAAAAAGCGAUUAAAAUGAUUGCUUUUUAGGUUCUACGGCUGAUAGAAGUAUUGCAGCCAUUCAGGAAGCAGAAGCAAAACCAGUUGGAUAAACAUAUAAAAAUGUGCCAUUUUAAACUAGUGGAUGAAACACUGCAUAGAAAUAGUUCCUAUUCCGCAUAGCUGUAACUGAAUAGAUUAAACUUAAGAAGGGUUCAUUUCUUUGGACUGUUUCAUGGUUUUCUGUCAACAGCAGUGGCUGCUGAUGACUAAAGAUGGGUAAUUGGCUUUGGUGUGCGAAGGUGGCUCAUCAGCCUAGUCUCUGUGGUGGGUAAAACCAGAUCCCAGUGAGAGGUGAAGAAAGAAAAAAAAGGAAGCAGCAGCACAGGAUGCAGCAAAAGCAUAAUUUCUUCUGUCCUCUUCUGUUCCUUUAGACUUAUUUCAGCCUCAUUAGAUGUCACCUAAGACUUUCUCUAAAAGAGUGCAUUUUCCUACACUUUCCAGUUGUGGAAGCCUCCAAGAAAUGUAAUUGUCCAACUCAGGAGCACUCGUACACAGUACUCUGUGUCAGAAAAGACGGGCAGUGGAGACCGGGCUGGGCUUGCUAAAAAUGUGUAUGGGGGUCUGUUCUGUUCCAGAAACAAGAAACCAGCUGCCCGAGCUGACAAUGAAGAACAAGAUUGCAUGUUUAUGUAUGCACGUAGGCCAUUUUGAAAUAAUUUUCUCUAGUGCUUUGUUCGUGUUCCUAAUAAGCCAACUUGUUUAUCACUAUAGCAACCAGCGACAGAUUCCUGGAAAGAAGAGCUGCAAAUGCCCAUUUGGACCUUGGUGGUCACAGGCAGCUGGUAUGAGCAAGGUGUCAUACUUGCCUCUCAGAGCUCUGAAAUGCCACGUUGGGACAGAGCAAGGCUUUGGUGGUGAAGACUGGAAGAGGUGGGAAUCGGACAUGCAAAGAACCUGCUCAGGGGAGGUCCUCCGGGUGCAUCCUCUCACCAGACAUCUGCUGCCAGCAAACACCUCUGAAACCGCAGCCAAUGUGUGUCCCGCCAGCGCUGAGCCACAUCCCAGGUGACGUCCCACAACUACAGCAUUUGCUCGAGUAGCAAAGAUAAUAUGAAGAGGACCAUCCUUAACACUGUUUGGCUACCCCUUCCCUGUAUUCAUGGAACUCAUAUCAGAAGCCCCUGAGCAGUCCCAGAGUCUUGGUAGCUGGUGUGUUUGCUUAUCUUUUGAGUGGCCCCAGGUAUGAAAAAAAUGAAAGUUAAAAGCUGUAUGAUUGAAAAAGGCAUUCUUGACUCUUGAUUCUGAUACUAAGAGGGUUGAAUAUUUUAUUCCAUGUUUUGUUUCUAAUGUAAUGUUAUAUUAAUGAGGUAAUGUUGUUGUAGCACCAGUGUCCUAGCAUAUAACAGGCAAGCUUGUAAGGAAAUGUAUCUUCUAGUAGAGGAGAUGAUACAGUGAAAACACCAAACCCAAGCAGAGAAGUGUUCAGCAAUACAAGCUUUUGUCAGGUCUGAUACAGCAGCUUACCGAAAUGCCCUCAAAAGAGGAACAGCUCCAGGUUACUCUUUGGAGUUAUUCCUCAUAAAGAUAAUGUUUUCUUUCACUAUGUUGGGAUAUUUUUUGUAAGAGCCUCAAGCUGAUGUAUUUGUCACUGAGAAGUCAAAAGAUUUUCUCCAGUUUCUCUUGAAAUCCUAGAAGAAUCUCCCACACCAUUAUGUUUCAGACCUACAUGAGGCCUUGUUGACAGAAUAAAUUGUUUUAGUGUAAUCCAA